rnacentral:lncRNA from 1 species
CGGUGUUUUUCUCUGCAUCAAGGCGUAUCGGCGUAUUGUAAUUUCUAGUUGUAAUGGCGGUACGCAUCACAGCGUUUCUUCUCAUGUGUGCUAUGUUAGGCUACGGCAUCAUGGCCAUUCCAACUAAUCAAGAUGCUACAGCACGAGGAAGUUCUGUGCUGAUUGCUGCCAAUGAGGAUGCAAGAAUCUCAUCAGCUGCGAUCGGAAGCUUGGCGGGUGGAGGCCUCGGCUGAAGCUCACGUGAUUGGCUGCACCGAGGGAGCAGCGCGAGAGAACCGACUUUUGUCGCGUGCUCGCUUUAUU